CCAAAUUUCCCCUUUCUUUAUCGUCCCCCUGUAACGGCUGAUGCCGUGGGUGCUUUAGGAGCCAGAAUGGGAACUCACUAUCCUGCUCCUCCUCCUCCUCCGCCUACAGCACGAUACUCACCAGACUUUCUUGACAAUCAUAAAAACGGAGAAUGAGUAGUAAUACGUACGAAAAUAUAAACGUUGUGAUUGUGAUAGGAGAAUUCAUAAUCGAAAUAAGUUACAUGAAAAUAACUUGUAAAAAGAGAAUAUAGGAGUCUAGACUGUUACACACCCAUUCAAACACAAAAAUAUACCCACACACACACAUACACACACACAGACACACACACACACAACACACAGGCACACACACACAACACA